GAUGAACGCUGACAGAAUGCUUAACACAUGCAAGUCAACUUGAAUUUGGGUUUUUACCUUAGGUUUGGGUGGCGGACGGGUGAGUAACGCGUAAAGAACUUGCCUCACAGCUAGGGACAACAUUUGGAAACGAAUGCUAAUACCUAAUAUUAUGAUAAUAGGGCAUCCUAUAUUUAUGAAAGCUAUAAGCGCUGUGAGAGAGCUUUGCGUCCCAUUAGCUAGUUGGAGAGGUAACGGCUCACCAAGGCGAUGAUGGGUAGCCGGCCUGAGAGGGUGAUCGGCCACGAGGGGACUGAGACACGGCCCUUACACCUACGGGAGGCAGAAGUUGGGAAUAUUGGACAAUGGACCGAGAGUCUGAUACAGCAAUUCUGUGUGCACGAUGAAGUUUUUCGGAAUGUAAAGUGCUUUCAGUUGGGAAGAAACAAAUGACGGUACCAACAGAAGAAGUGACGGCUAAAUACGUG
rnacentral:rRNA from 1 species